UAUUCUGCAAAAUGUACAGGGAUUGGACUGCUGAGGACUGGGUUAAAGUCAUUUUCUCUGAUGAAUCCCCUUUCAUCUGGCUGACCUCCCAGAAUCCCGCCCCCUCUUCAUCUCCCACUGUGCCCUGACCAAACUGUGCCAGGCGCUGCACCAUCACCACGGAGAACAAGACAUCAACAUCGCCAGGGUGUUCAGGUACCUGUACCUGUACCACACAAACACACACAUACACACUGUACACCUAAAACAUCUCACCUCAGGCAGAAAACCUUAUGUUUAACUGUUUAAUUGAAAGUGGGACAGUAUAGACCUCAGACCAUUUACAACACUUCUUGACCUUGUGCAUUACUUUUAAGUGUGUACAAAAAAAAAAAUUAUAUCCUACAACCUUACAAGAAUCAACAGUUCACUAUGUGACAGUAUAUGAUUCUAAAAGCAUGUAGCACUCCCUAUUUCCACAAGUAAUGCCAGUAAAGCCAAUCCUUUUUUUGUGACAAUAGCAGUCCAGUGAGAGCCUAUCUGGUCAGUGUUAUUUGUUGUCCUCCUACUCUGGCCCAGACCCCUGGCUGCUACAUACUAUUUAUAGAACUGACGAGUAAACGCCAGCGGGAACAGGUGAGCUGGGCCCUGUGUGUGUGUGUGGUAUGGGAAGCAGAUGAGCCCAUUUACUCCCGGGUGUUUAUACUGCACAUUGACUAAGCCUAUUUAUCUUCAGGAAGUUGUUUAUGUACUCCAAGUCCCAGUAUAGUUACAGCAGUGUGCGCGCGCGUUUUGACUUUAAUCAUCAUCACAGGAGUAACUGAGGAAGUCAUCCUACCCUUAGGGAGACGGGGUUGGGAGGGAGGCUCUGGUAAUCAGAGAGGACUUAAUCAGCCAGGAAAUAAACACACACACACAGGAGACACACAGAUAUCCCCCUGUUAUUAUACAUAGACACACGGUUGAUCACAUUGUGUCCUGGAUAGCUCUUUGACAGGACAGCCUGUCCCCAUAAAUGUGUCAGUACAGUACGUUACAGCCCAGUUCAUAUCAGCCACACUGGCCAGUCAGGCCAGUCAGCCCAGCCAGGCCCUGGGUAACCCUGUGUGUUUCUGUGUUUGUGACACACACUUUAGGGGAUGGGCAGAGUGCGAUUGCGAAACCAACGUGGUAUACAGGUUUCAAUCCUUGUUGUGGUGGGGGAGAAACGGUAAAUGUGAUGAAUGCAGGUCAUAUCUGAUAGGAGAAAUGUAUUACUGUAUUACUCUCUAUAAUCACCAAGGUAUUUGUUUAUGUGGAUAACACACACACACAUUCAACCUAAUCCUCUGUCUCUCCUCCACAUAGGACCUGGGGGUGCGUCUGCUCUUCCCUCUGGGUAACCUAAUGUCUCAGAGCAGUGAGGCCAGAAAGCACCUCUUCACAGCUGAUGGGUGUGUGUCCGUGCUGCUGGACCCCCCUACCAUACACACACCCACACACCUCCAGUACACUCUGUACUUCUCCCGUGUGGGGGCGGGAGAAGGAGAACAUGCUGGUGAAGCUGGUUAGGGUUCUGUUCAUCCACCCUGCAGUGGGGCCUACCCUGGCAGCUAACAAACACCUAGUACACGACCUGCUGGACACACUGAGGGAGUUUCAGCGUUUUUAGGGCUGGCAGACAGUGAGGGACUUUGGGCCAGCUGGCUGGCCUGGUGUGUCAGACCCUGUGGAACCUCACUGAGAAGUGGGGGGCGGGGACAGACUCCCCAGCCACACUGGACAACCAGGAGAGAGAGGCACUGCUUGAGGUCCAAACACUGUACCUAGACGAGGAGGAAGCGCUGCAGUGGACCUCUGGUGAUUACGAGGGACUUCCACCGAGCAUUCUGGGAGUCAGAGUUCCGUCCUGUGGCUCAGAGGCUGAGGGACAGGAUGCAGACUCAAACUGUCUGCCAUCUACACAGUCUCCCUCCCUAAAGUGUGAUGUCCUAGCCUUUCUUCUUGCUGUGCCCUGCCUCCAGUGUGUCUGUACUCAACACACUUUACUUUCCGGUUCUACCACGCUCUCUAAUUCCAUUAGUAAGGUCCUGACCAGGGACAACUCUGGGACUUAGUUAUAGGCUGUUACUUGGGUUGAGUGUUUUCCAAGUCAGGAAACCCUCUUGGCCCUAGCUAUGACAUAUUUUGAGCCUCUGACCUGUAUGACAAACUGUUUUCGUUUUACCAUAAUGUAACUGGUAAUGUAAUAUUAUCAUAGGCUACUCUUACAUAUCGCAAUAAUUGUAAAUUGCUUCUGUGGUGAUAAAAAGUUAUGACAUUGUUAAUCUGUGAACUGCUGUAAGUAAUAAACCACAACAAAACAAAGUGUGGUAAACGUUCUCCUUCUCAAAGCCUUUAUUGUUACAGAUAUGGACCAGGCCAGGCAGUACUGCUGCAAAGUUAGUAAAGAACAGCGUUUUUUAAAUCACAUAAUUAUCAUUACAUCAAAUAAGUACAAAAACAGCACUUCUGUCAAAAUAAAGUAAACCUAUCCUGCAAUAAUAACACCUUACAGUGACCACAACCCAAUAGCAUUUCAUCAGCCAUAGUUAAAUGACACACAUGGUUCUCUACAUGAUACACACCUGUCCGUCUGGGUUGAUAAAGUUAGUUGGGUAAUUGUGGAGGUAUUAAGUGCAUCUAUUGUUUAUAAUAGUCUCAUCCUGUUCAGAUUGUCGUAGGGAAAUGAGGCAGUUCAGUAUCAGUAGAGAUAUGGACCAAGUCACCCUCUGUUUGCCCUUAAUAGAAAAGUCCCUGAACAUCCAAAGAAUUCAGUCUACAGCCAGUCACCCACAAGGAUGCCAGGGAGUUUCCGCAGGGAGAACGGAACAGGACAGGAAGGUGAGCAGAAUAGAGGUCAAAGGUGAUCCUAGAAGGAAUUUUCCCUCAUCUCACUGCACAUUAGACAGGUCCAAGUGUUCUAGAACAACAGGUGUGGGAGUAACGUUCAACCUUGGACUCGUCAACACAAGCAAACAUUGAACCACAGAGUUCAAUAUAAAAUGGGAGGACUGACUCCCCACUGGACAAAAACAAGUUGAAUCAACAUUUUGACAUGAUUUCAACAACAAAAAAUGAAAUGGGUUGACGUUGAAUGGAAGUGGAAAAAGCCAUCAAAACAAGAGAAUUUACUAUUUCUUCACCUAACUUUUAACCUAAAUCCAAUGAGAUGGUCGACAAGUCAACCAAAUCUAAAUCAAAACUAGACAUUGAACCAGUGGGUCCACCACACUCAACACAUGCGGUUGUACGAAACAUUUAUUUGUGUGUGGGACUCAAUUGCAUUAACUGUGCAAAAUGCAUCUGUAAUAGCCAAAUGUUUCCUACAUCAUUACUGAUGACAUAUUGUAAAAUGUAAUUGAUGGAGAUCAGAUGUUUAUUGUUAAGGUUGGAGAUAAUACAUACAUGUGUGCUGUGACUACAACUUGGUUGGCUUGUUUCAUGAAUGAUUCAAUGUAUAGAUUAUUUAUAUGUAAUAAUGAUAUGAUUAUGUUGAUGCAGCAGCAACAGUUCUAUGGAGAAAACAAAAAAAUACAAUGAUUCAAUAACAUUCCAUUUUUUUUAUAUAAAAAGUUUCAGUAUCUGACAUUAGUCAGAAGUUUGAUAAAACCUCUACACUUCCUCUCACAACCACCCCCAAAUAAUGUACCAUUCCAUAAUCCUCCUCCUCUUCCUCCUCUUAACGUGAAACAAUCAUUCAAUUGUCCAACUGUAUCAAUCCACCCUCAGUAGAAUGCAGUACUUUACUGUUUUUAGUCAACAAAAAUAAAAGUGUGGAGAGUCUACCCCUCGUUUAAAAAAAACUGUGUUUGCACUGGUUAGGCUCCCACAGAGGGAACAAGCACAUCUAUGACCGACUGCAGUCGGACCGUAUCGACCACAGUCGGUCCAAUGAGGACCAACUGGGCUCCCUACGAAUGAAAGCCAAGCGACCCAGAAUGAUAAGUCAUUCUGCUCGCCAAAGAGCACUUCUUAAUGCGAUAGAAAAGAAAACAGAAGAGGUAUUUAUUUACUGGUACAAUUCACAAUACCCAAAGCUUUCAAAGUGUUAGGAUGCCCAGGCCAGGGUCAAAGGUCGAGGGUGAGCGGAAGACAGACAGGUGAGGUCAUUGUUAUGACAACCGGAAGCCAAUCCCCUGGAAGACCACUUUGUUUUAGCUUUCAUGUUCUUUUUCUUACAGGACAAAGCUUUUUACCAGAAACAAAACAAUGUAACAGUCACCACAUGGAAAGAGCUACAGCAGAGGCAAGAAGUUUCACACUUCAAAUUACUUCGCUUUCUUCCUGUUUUUUUGUU